rnacentral:rRNA from 1 species
GCUUAACACAUGCAAGUCGAGGGGUAACAGGGAGUGCUUGCACUCCGCUGACGACCGGCGCACGGGUGCGUAACGCGUAUGCAACCUACCUUUUACAGGGGGAUAGUCAAGAGAAAUUUUGAAUAAUACCCCAUACGAUCAUCAAUACACAUGUAUAGAUGAAGAAAACUUUUGUGGUAAAAGAUGGGCAUGCGUCCUAUUAGCUAGAUGGAGAGGUAACGGCUCCCCAUGGCGACGAUAGGUAGGGGUCCUGAGAGGGAGAUCCCCCACACUGGUACUGAGACACGGACCAGACUCCUACGGGAGGCAGCAGUGAGGAAUAUUGGACAAUGGAGGCAACUCUGAUCCAGCCAUGCCGCGUGCAGGAAGACUGCCCUAUGGGUUGUAAACUGCUUUUAUACAGGAAGAAACACUCCCUCGUGAGGGAGCUUGACGGUACUGUACGAAUAAGGAUCGGCUAA